UGCAAAACUAGCAUUGUUUUAAUGCUUGUGGCAGAUACACAUGUUUCACCCGAAAAUAAACCAGCUGCAUUAUUAGCAAUAGAGAUAAUUUGCAUGUUAACUACAAAUGGAAGUACCAGUAUCCUCGUAGAUAUGUAUACGACAUCUAUUUGUGGGGUAACCAUUUGCUAUAUUGAACAACCCAACAAAUUCUCCUACUGCAGAAUAAGGGAGCGCAUCUAAAACGUUUCUACCUUUUCCCUGUGUUUCUAAAUAAAUCCAGAAAUAAAAGGCUUUUCCGGCAAAGCAAGUUAGUCAAUUUCAUCCCAUUCUGAUGGAUAAGUAACAAAAGUGCUUUGUCAUUCUUCUACAGUUUCCUAUUAAGCAUUAAUGAUGAGAACACGUAAGGACCUCAGGUCCGAAUCUCCAAAUAUUAUUAAAUCGGUACUAUUGACAACACAAUACUAUUGGAAUGCUUCUUCUCAUUAUCGAAGAAUUCCGUUUACGGAACGUCCAAAUUAUCCAGGUCACAAUCUCUAUUAAAAAGGCUACAUUUGUUGUUAACGUAAAAAAUAUCCAUGCGUUUUGUGAAAUAUUUUAACGCUGUUUGCAUUUGCCAGUACCUGAAAUCAAGUUUAUUGGCAUAAAGGCUUAUUGUUGAUAGAACAUUGUUUUUAGACUUGCCACAUAAACGCAUCAAUUAUUUAACAAAUUUUGCUCAAAUCCUGUGAAUAAUAUUCCAUUAACAUAUUUAUUGCCAUAAUAAAUGGCGUUAAAUGUAUAUCUACAUACAUUAUGUGUAUCUAGUUGAAUGAAAUAAGCUAUAAAACAUGUGGUAUAUUACUAUUGUAUGUUUUCAAAAUUAUUACUUUUUCCUGCUCUUGCAAUAUUGAACUAAAUUCAACAGCAUUUAACAAACUAAAAUGAAUACUAUAAAUGCGACUGGCAUUAAUUAAAAUUUGUAUUUUAAUUAUUUUAAUAUUUCAGUGUUUUAAAUAAAAUAUAAAUUUACUUUUAAUUAAUGAUUCAUUAAAAGCGAUAAAAAGCAACGUUACUACCACAUGCAGAGCACACAACAUGUUGCUUUUUUUGGAUGUACUAAUAAUAUAUUUUGAAUAGAAUCAUUAUUUUUGUAAAA